rnacentral:tRNA from 1 species
CGCCGGGCGGCCGACCCGCGCGGCGGCGCUCUCGCUGCGGGCGCGGAGGGCGGCCAGCGUGGCGGAGCGGCUCGGCUCGGCGCUGAGCCCGGUGCCC